AACGAACGCUGGCGGCAUGCCUAACACAUGCAAGUCGAACGCUUCCGGGGGUUUCGGCCUCCGGGGGAGUGGCGCACGGGUGAGUAGCGCGUGGGAACCUGCCCUGUUGUGGGGGAUAACCGAGGGAAACUUCGGCUAAUACCGCAUACGCCCGAGGAGUGAUCUUCGGGGAAAGAUUUAUCGCAGCAGGAGGGGCCCGCGUCGGAUUAGCUGGUUGGUGGGGUAACGGCCCACCAAGGCGAUGAUCCGUAGCNGGUCUGAGAGGAUGAUCAGCCACACUGGGACUGAGACACGGCCCAGACUCCUACGGGAGGCAGCAGUGGGGAAUCUUGCGCAAUGGGCGAAAGCCUGACGCAGCGACGCCGCGUGAGGGAUGACGGCCUCGGUU
rnacentral:rRNA from 1 species